rnacentral:rRNA from 1 species
UACGUAGGUGGCGAGCGUUGUCCGGAAUUACUGGGUGUAAAGGGCGUGUAGGCGGGAAAGCCAGUUGGAUGUGUAGAUGCGGGGCUUAACCUCGGCGCUGCAUCCGAAGCUGCAUUUAUUGAGUGCUGGAGAGGAAAGCGGAAUUCCUAGUGUAGCGGUGAAAUCCGUAGAUAUGAGGAAGAACACCAGUGUCGAAGGCGGCUUUCUGGACAGUAACUGACGCUGAGGCGCGAAAGCCUGGUGAGCAAACAGG